UUCAGAUCUGAGUUGUGUAGCGUGGCAUUGGUCCGACGCAGUUGCACAAACUCACGAAUAUCGUCUUUUUCACAGGAUAUUUCGUAGAUUUCUAGUGGUGAAUUAUUUGGGAAAGAAGACAUUUGUGGCAAAGAAAAACGUGAUUUUGAAGAAGAUUCUUCAGACGGUAUUAAAUCAGUUGAAAGUUUGAGCGAGGAAGAAAAUUUAAAUGAUAAGGAUAGCAGUGCUGAUGAGGUAAUUGUUCAGUCAAAAAUCUCGCCGAGGUGUGAUGUUUGUGGUUCACUUCAUUUUAAAAGUUAUCGCUGUGUGACGCGAGUUUCAUUUCCAGCCUAUAUUCGUCAAGCUCUCGACGAUAAUUAUCAUAAGUUGCGUGUCUGUCGC